UCAACGUUACAACAGACGUCUUCAGGUGACUCUAGACUGCUUCAGGUGACUUCAGACCUCUUCAUGCCUCUUCAGGUGACUCCAGACGUCUUCAGGUGACUUUAAGUAACUCCAGACGUCCUCAGGUGACUCCAAACAUCUUCAGAUGACUUCAGGUGACUCCAGACGUCUUCAUGGGGCUUCAGGUGACUCUAGACGUCCUCAGGUGACUCCAGGCUUCUUCAGGUGACUCCAUACUUCAAGUGACUUCAGACCUCUCCAGGUGACUUCAGGUAACUUCAAGAGACCUCAGACGUCUUCAGGUGGCCCCAUGUGACUGCAGACCUCUUCAGGUGACUCUAGACGUCUUCACGUGACUUCGAGUGACUUCAGACGACUUUAGGUGACUUCAGACGUCUUCACGUGACCUCAGGUUACUCCAGAUCUCUUCAGAUGACUUAAGGCGACUUUAGGUGUCUUCAGGUGACUUCAGGUGACUCCAGAGUUCUUCAUGUGACUUCAAACUGCUUCAGGUGACUUCACCUAACUUCAAGAGACUUUAGACGCCUUCAGGUGACUCCAGACGUAUCCAGACGUCGUCAGGUGAUUCCAGACAUCUUCAGGAGACUCCAGACAUCCUCAGGUGACUCCACAUAACUUCAACAGACUUCAGACGACUUCGGGUGACUCCAAACGUGUUCACGUGACUUGACACGUCUUCAGAGGACUUCAGACGUCUUUAGGUGACUCCGGACGUCUUCAUGUGAUUAAGGUGGCUCUAGAUGUCUUCUGGUGACUCCAGACCUCUACAGGUGACUUCAUGUAACUUCAAGAGAUUUCAGAGGGUUUUGGGUGGCUCCAGUUCACUUCAGACGCCUUCAUGUGAUGCCAGACGUCUUCAGGUGACUUCAAGUGACGCGAAACCUCCUCGGGUGAGUCCAGACGUCUUUAGGUGACUUCAGGUGACUCCAAACAUUUUCAGGUGACUUGAGACGUCUUUAGGUGACUACAGACGUCUUCAGGUGACUUCAAGUCUUCACAAGCCUUCAGGUGACUUGAGGUGACUUCAUGUGACUGCAGACGUCUUCAGGUGACUUCAUGUGACUGCAGACGUCUUCAGGUGACUUCAGCUGAAAGGUGUCAUCAUGUGACCUAAAGUUACUCUAGAUGUCUUCAGGUGACUUCAUGUGACUUUAAACGACCCCAGACGUCUUCAGGUGACCCCAAACAUCUUCAGAUGACUUCAAGUUACGUCUGACGUCUUCACGUGGCUCCAGACGCCUUCAGAUGACUCCAGAGUUCUUCAAAUGACUUCAGACCUCUUCAGGUGACUUCAAGAGACUUCAGACGUCUUUAGGUGGCUCCAGGUGUCUUGAGACGCAUUCAGAUGAACUCAGGCGACUUCAAGUGACUCCAAAUGUCUGCAGGUGACUUGAGGUGACUUCAUAUCUCUUCAGGUGACUUCAAACAUCUUCACGGGACUCCAGGUGUGUUUGGGUGACUCCAGACGUCUUUAGGUGACUUCAUGUGACUCCAGACGUCUUCAGGUGACUUCAGGAAACUCCAGACGUCAGACGUCUUCACGGGACUUCAGACGUCUUCAUGGGACCUAAGGUGAAUGUAGACGUCUUCAGGUGACUCCAGACUUCUUCAGGUGACUCGAGACUGCUUCAAGUGACUUCAGACGUCUUCAGGUGAUUUCAGGUAACUUGAAGAGACUUUAGGCGUCUUCAGGUGGCUCCAGGUGAAUUUAGACGCCUUCAGGUGACUCCAAACGUCUUCAAAUGACUUGAGGUGACUUCAGACGUCUUCAGGUGACCUCAAGUUACUUCAGGCGCCUUCAAGUGACUCCAGACAUAUUUGGGUAACUCCAUGUGACUCUAGACGUCUUCAGGUGACUUUAGAUGUCUUCAGAUGACUUCAGGUGGCUCCAAACUUCUUCAAGUGAUUUCACUUCAAGAGUCUUCAGACGUCAUCAGGUGACUCCAGGUGACUUUAGACGCCUUCAGGUGACUUCAGGCGACUCCAAACGUCUCAGAUGACUUCAAGUGACUUCAGACGUCUUCAGGUGACUCCAGACGUCUUUGGGUGACUCCAUGUGACUUCAGACGUCUUCAGGUGGCUCCAGGUGACUUUAGACGCCUUCAGGUGACUUCAAGUGACUUCAGACGGCUUCAGCUGACUCCAGACGUCUUUGGGUGACUCCAUGUGACUCCAGACGUCUUCAGAGGACUUCAAGUGACUCCAAACGUUUUCAGGUGACUUCAGAUGUCUUCAGGUAACUCCAGACGUUUUCAGGUGACUCCAGACGUCAGACAUCUUCACGUGACUCGAGACAUUUUCUUGUGACUUAAGGUGACUCCAGACGUCAGACGUCUUCGUUUGAUUCCAGACGUUUUCAGGUGGUAUCACGUGACUCUAGACGUCUUAAGGUGGCUUCACUUGACUCCAGACGUCUUCAGGUGACUUUUAGGUGUCUCGAGACGUCUUCAGGCGGCCUAACGUGACCUUAAACCUGUUCGGGUGGCUCUGGACGUUUUCACGUGAUUUCAGGUGACAGCAGACGACUUCAGGUGACUUCAAACUUCUUCAGACGAUUUCACGUGACCUAACAUGACUUCAAACCUCUUGAGGUGACUCCAGACCUAAUGACCUCCUGGCCUAAUGUGACUUCAGACGUCUUCAGGUGGCUUGACGUGAUUUCAGAAGUCUUCAGGUAACUCUAGACGUCUUCACGUGACUUCAGAUGACUUCAUGCGACUCCAGACGUCUUCGUGUGACUUAAGGUGACUCAAUACCUCUUCAGGUGGCUUAACGUGACUUCAUACCUCUUCGGAUGACUCUAGACGUCUUCACUUGACUUCAGGUGACACCAAACGACUUCAGGUGACUCCAGACAUUUUCAGGUGACUUAAGGUUACCUCAGGUGACUCCAGAUGACUCCAGACGCCUUCAGGUGACUGCAGACCACUUCAGGUGAUUUCAGGCAACUUCAAGCGUCUUCAGACGUCUUCACGUGGCUCAAGGUGAAUUCAGACGUCUUCUGAUGACUCUAAACGUCUUCGGGUGACGUCUUUUUGUGACUUCAUAGUCAUAAGGUGACUCCAGACGUCUUCAGGUGACUCCAGACGUGUUCAGGUGGCUUAAGGUGACUUCAUGUGACUCCAGACGUCUUCAGGUGGCUUCAGGUGACUCCAAACGUCUUCAAAUGACUUGAGGUGAACCAGAAGUCUUCAGGUGACCCCAGACGUCUCUGGGUGGCCUAAGGUGACUUCAGACGUCUUCAGGUGGCCUGACGUGACUUCAGACGUCUUUAGUUGACUCUAGACGUCCUCACGUGACUUCAGAUGACUUCAUGCGACUCCAGACGUUUUCAUGUCACUUAAGGUGGCUGGAGAUGUCUUCGGGUGACUCUGUGUGACUCCAAACGUCUUCAGGUGACUUCAAGUGGCUCCAGGUGAUUUCAAGUGACUCCAAACCUGUUUAGCUGACUCCAGCCAUCUUCAUAUGACUUCAGGUGACUCCAGACGUGUUCAGGUGACAUCAGACGUGUUCAGGUGACAUCAGACGUCUUCAGGUGAAAUCAGGCGUCUUCAGGUAAUUGUAAACUUCUUCAGAUGACUUCAAGUGACUCCAGACAUCUUCAUGUGACUGAAGGUGACUCAAGACCUCUUCAGGUGACUCUGUGUGACUCCAGACGUCUUUGGGUGACUCCAGAUGAUUCCAGACGUCUUUAGGUGACUCCAGACGUUUACAGGUUACUUAAGGUGACUUCAUGUGAUUCCAGACAUGUUCAGGUGACUGAAGGUAACUGAAGACCUCUUCAGGUGACUCCAGACGUCUUCGGGUGACUCCAUGUGACCCAAGACGUCUUCAAGUGACCUCAGGUGACUCUAGACGUCUCCAGGUGCCUCCAGAUGACUCUAAACGUCUUAAGGUGGCUUAAUGUGACUUGAGACCUCUUCAGGUGACUCUAGACGUCUUCACGUGGCUUCAGGUGACUCAAGACGACUUCAGGUGACUCAAGACGUCUUCAGGUAGCUGCAGGUUACUCCAGACGUCUUCAGGUGGCUUCAGUUGACUCCAGACGUCUUCAGGUGUGUUAAGGUGACUUCAGACCAGUUGGCUUAACGUGCCCUCAGACCUCUUCGGGUAGCUGUGGAAGUCACUGACUUCAGGUGACACCAGACGACUUCAGGUGACUCCAGAGAUCUUCAGGUGACUCUAAACGUCUUCAGACGACUUCAGGUGACUUAAGACGUCUUCAGGUCACUUCAGGAGACUCUAGACGUCUUCAGGUGACUCCACAUGACUCCAGAUGUCUUCAGGUACUCCAGAUGUCUUCAGGUACUCCAGAUGACUCCAGAAUUCUUCAGGUGACUUAAGGUGACUUUAGACGUCUUCAGGUGCCUUAACGUGACUUCAGACCUCUUCAGGUGACUGUAGACGUCUUCACGUGACUUCAGGUGACCCCAGCCGGCUUAAGAUGACUUCAGGUGAUUUCAGUUUUCUUCAGGUUACUUAAGGGGACUUUAUGUGACUCCAGACGUGCUGAUGUCUCCACACGUCUUCAAGUCACUUCAGGUGACUUCAGACGUCUUCACGUGACUUAAGGAGACGCUAGACAUCUUCAGGUGACUUUAGGUGACUCCAGACGUCUUCAGGUGACUUCAGACCUUUUUAGGUGUCUUCAGGUAACUCCAAGAGACUUCAGACGUCUUCAGGUGACUACAAACAUUUUUGGAUGACUUGAGGUGAAUUCACGUGACUUCAGACGUUUUCAAGCAACUUCAGACGUCUUCGGGUGGCUCCAUGUGACUCCAGACGUAUUCAGGUGUCUUCAGACGUCUUCAGGUGACUCCACCUUGUUAGCUAGAAUCUUACACGUAUAAGCUAUGUGGAUUUAGCCGGUUGGUUGCUAUCGGUUUAUUACUCACCGAGUUAUCGCGUCAUGAAAUUUUGCAUAAUUUCGUUGCAUCGUAAAUUUUGACCUGGCUACCAAACCGAACUUACAGACGUUUUCACGUCAAAAAGAGAUAGAAAGAGAACUGAAGGUGCCUCCGUGAUGCUUAAUACAACCGGUGCAGCGAAUGUAAUCGCUUUUAUGUUCCUCAUUGAACGUUGAGUGGCGUGCAGCUUUUAUUGUUCAUUAACAUCAAUGUAGAUUAAAAAGCCUAUGUCUCCUAAUAUCAACAAAUCAGCCGAAUGGCACUUGGUCGGCUAUAA